AGUUGUUGCAAUGAGGAUGAAAAAGCUCCCUCUUCUGAAAAUGAAGUCGAGGAAGAUUGCUGGCAGAAUCGAACCUAAAAAAAUCUACAGCCACUUCUGAGAAA